GGGCACUUGGCACAGUGGUAGCGCGCCUGCUUUGCACCAAAGAUCAUCGGGCGCUUGCAUGAGGUCGUGGGUUCAAUCCCCACAGUGUCCA
rfam:Phlebia centrifuga strain FBCC195 PHLCENscaffold_1034, whole genome shotgun sequence.